rnacentral:rRNA from 1 species
UACGUAGGUGGCAAUCGUUGUCCGGAUUUACUGGGCGUAAAGAGCGCGCAGGCGGUCGUUCAAGUCGCGUGUGAAAGCCCCCGGCUCAACUGGGGAGGGUCACGCGAUACUGAUCGACUCGAAGGCAGGAGAGGGUAGUGGAAUUCCUGGUGUAGCGGUGAAAUGCGCAGAUAUCAGGAGGAACACCGGUGGCGAAGGCGGAUCUCUGGGCCUUACCUGACGCUCAGGCGCGAAAGCGUGGGGAGCAAACAGG